GUAGGAGUCUGGGCCGUGUCUCAGUCCCCAUGUGGCCGUUCAUUCUCUCAGACCGGCUACUGAUCAUUGCCUUGGUGGGCCGUUACCCCUCCAACUAGCUAAUCAGACGCAAUCCCCUCCUUCAGUGAUAGCUUAUAAAUAGAGGCCACCUUUCAUCCAUCCUCGAUGCCGAGGUUGGAUCGUAUGCGGUAUUAGCAGUCGUUUCCAACUGUUGUCCCCCUCUGAAGGGCAGGUUGAUUACGCGUUACUCACCCGUUCGCCACUAAGAUUGAUAGAAGCAAGCUUCCAUCGCUCUUCGUUCGACUUGCAUGUGUAAGCACGCCGCCAGCGUUCGUCCUGAGCCAGGAUCAAACUCU
rnacentral:rRNA from 1 species